rnacentral:rRNA from 1 species
AACUUUCAACAACGGAUCUCUUGGUUCCGACAUCGAUGAAGAACGCAGCGAAAUGCGAUAAGUAAUGUGAAUUGCAGAAUUCCGUGAAUCAUCGAAUCUUUGAACGCACAUUGCGCCCCCUGGUAUUCCGGGGGGCAUGCCUGUCCGAGCGUCAUUUC